AGUUCUACAACCAAUUUAUUUAUUUUUUUCUUGCCAAAUAGAUAAUAAAAAAAAUAGUUCUCAUAUAUGAAGAGUUUUGUUAUUCAAGUAUCAGUUGGAGAUUUCUCAGCUUAAGGUGAAGGAAACAGCAAAAAAUCAUCAAAGAAAUAUGCUGCAAUAAUAGUCCUGCAAGAACUUCGAAAACUUUCUGUUCUUCCUGUAAUUUAAAAGCUAAAAGGUUAAAGUGGGACAUGAAAUUACAAUUGGAACAGGAGCCAAGAAGAAAAUAGCAAAACGGAAUGCAUCUGAAGCUAUGUCAUUACAGCUUGGCUAUAAAGCCUCUUCCUCUACUUAAAGAACAGCCAGAAACGAGCUAAUCCCCAGAAAGACACUUUCAUCUGCCGAUUAGUCAUGCCCCUGCAAGCCUCAAUAACCUGAGGAGAAAGAAGAGCUACCUCAAGCAAUUUGGAGAAACAGUCAAAGAAAGCAUCUGAAAAUAUGUGUCUUGAGGAGAAAAAAGAGGAUCUACAUCAUUUAAUCUCCAAAGUCAAGCUUGUUAAAUCAUGAUUAAAGACAAUUGUAGGCCAAUGAUUGCCUAGUUGCUUGUAAAAUAUAUGAAUUGCUUUAUGCAACGAGGCAGAGAACUACACUGCUAUGAAAGAACAAAUUUUGCUUGGGGAAAAUCUCAAGUUCAAUUUCUGGAAUAGAAGAAAACUCCAUUAUGUUCAACAGAACAAUUUGGAAAUUGAAUUGGGGUAUGCAAAUAUACACCAGACCAAACAAUGACUUACGGUAGGUUGUAAUGAAUAGAUUAAGUUAAACAUAUAAGCCAAGUGGUGGCAAUAAAAUGCCACAUCUUUGACAUAAUGAGGUAGUGACAGAAUAUGUUUCUUACUCACAAACCCCAUCCCCAAAAGAAAAAUAUUGCUCCCAGAUGUAUUAUGUCACAUACUUCCUAGUGUAAUGUGUAUCACUCCCAUUUUAAUUUCAUUCUGGGAACAAGCAGGAUAUGCACAUAUCCUACUACAAUAAGGAAAUUCAUUCCUUUUAAUAAAAAAAAUAGAACAUAAUAUUAGUCCUUUCUGCUCAUAAUUUUCUAUAAGUUCUACAUUGCUUUUCAUUACAAGUAAUCACCAAUUGGUUUUUUACAGUUUUCUGAAUCAUUAUGAAAAGCAUUUACACCUUAUUAAGUAUUGCAGAAGAAUGUAAUAGAAAUAUUUUAAAAUACAGUAAAAGGAAAAAAUGGAAACAAUAACAACAAUAUUUUCUACUCAAAGCCUAUGGAUAAGCAGACAAGAAAAAUUAGUAAGAGUUAAAAAAAUUAUUUGGAGAUAUACUGUAAAGAUAGAAUUGGCAGGAAAUUCUAGAAUUUGCAAUCUGAAUGCAUUUUGGGAGUCACCAAAUGGAGAACACUAGUGUAUAGUCCCACUUUUGGAAAGCACAGUUCAUUAAUUUCAAUUUCAGAGCUUUCUAUAUGUCUGAUUGUCAUCAGAUACAGAUCUCAUAAAGGACAGAUGAAGUGUCAACAGAAGACUGUUCCAAAAGAAAAAGUCAGAAAGCCCACUUUCUCUACUAGUGAUAUGGAACAGGCUGUUGAAACAGGGUUUUCCCCCUUGUGCCUUGGGCUAGGGCCCAUGUGCGAGUGCAAGAGAAUGUUGUUUUCCUUGUGUUUUCCUUGUUAUUUAAAAAUUGUUAUUUAAAAUAAAUUUAUUUCCUUUGUUAUUUAAAAAUUGUUAUAACCUGUUUUUAAUACUGCAUGCUGCCUAGAGUUGCUAUGGCAUUAGGAAGCUUUCCAAAUUUGAAAAAAAUAAAUUGGUGCCAAUAGCUACUAUUAUGUUAUCUUCAUAUUGUAGAUGUGUUCAAGAGUUUGGAGGGCCAUAGAAAACCACAAUAGAUAAAAGGGAGAUAGAAAGUUUCAUUUUUUUAAACUUAAGAUAGUUUCAUCUGUACACCAUUGUCGAGUUGAAAGGUAGUAUCACAAGAGCAAGAUCAACAAAUACUAGUUAGGUCAACUGAAUCUAAUUCUUUGUAAAUAGAGACUGAUCAAAGGAAAGAAUCAGAAAAAGGGCUUUUCAAAACUACAUAUAUAAAUAAGGAGCAAAGGUGUAAAAAGUUUUGAAUUAUGAGUUAAAACUAUGCAAGCCAUAAAAACCACCUUCCACUUAGCAGAUAUUUUAACAAUAAACAAAUUCACUCAUAAGGCAUUCUUAUGAACUCCUCGGUGUAUAUAUUUAUGUGCAAUAUAUAAUUAAAUCUCAGUAUCAUAUCUGGGCUUUACAUUCCAACUAUUUAUUGGUAAUCUAAAGUGCCUAGCACAAACUAAUCCAAGCACACAAUGGAGUAUCAAAAGACUUCAACUUCUAUCAACUUGAAAAAGAGUUUGUAAUAACCAUCAGUUUUCAUGGCUUUCCAUUUCUGUUCAACAAGCAUACCUCAAGUCUUAGAUUUGAUGUAUACUGGUAGCACUAAUUGACUUAGUUUAAGUCAAACUUAAUCAAAGAUCAAAAAUCCAUCUGAUGAAAAGGUUGAAUAUUAAGUGCUCAAAACUAUAUAUAUAGUCUCCCUUU